rnacentral:rRNA from 1 species
CCCAGACUCCUACGGGAGGCAGCAGUGGGGGAUAUUGCACAAUGGGGGGAACCCUGAUGCAGCGACGCCGCGUGGGUGAAGGAGCGUUUCGGCGCGCAAAGCCCUAUCGGCAGGGAAGAAGGAGGACGGUACCUGACUAAGAAGCCCCGGCUAACUACGUGCCAGCAGCCGCGGUAAUACGUAGGGGGCAAGCGUUAUCCGGAUUUACUGGGUGUAAAGGGGGCGCAGACGGCAGCGCAAGCCAGGAGUGAAAGCCCGGGGCCCAACCCCGGGACUGCUCUUGGAACUGCGCGGCUGGAGUGCAGGAGGGGCAGGCGGAAUUCCUGGUGUAGCGGUGAAAUGCGUAGAUAUCAGGAGGAACACCGGUGGCGAAGGCGGCCUGCUGGACUGCGACUGACGUUGAGGCCCGAAAGCGUGGGGAGCAAACAGGAUUAGAUACCCCAGUA